AUUGAACGCUGGCGGCAUGCCUUACACAUGCAAGUCGAACGGCAGCACGGAGCUUGCUCUGGUGGCGAGUGGCGAACGGGUGAGUAAUAUAUCGGAACGUACCCAAGAGUGGGGGAUAACGUAGCGAAAGUUACGCUAAUACCGCAUGCGAUCUAAGGAUGAAAGUGGGGGCUCGCAAGACCUCAUGCUCCUGGAGCGGCCGAUAUCUGAUUAGCUAGUUGGUGAGGUAAAGGCUCACCAAGGCAUCGAUCAGUAGCUGGUCUGAGAGGACGACCAGCCACACUGGAACUGAGACACGGUCCAGACUCCUACGGGAGGCAGCAGUGGGGAAUUUUGGACAAUGGGGGCAACCCUGAUCCAGCAAUGCCGCGUGAGUGAAGAAGGCCUUCGGGUUGUAAAGCUCUUUUGUCAGGGAAGAAACGGUGAAGGCUAAUAUCCUUUGCUAAUGACGGUACCUGAAGAAUAAGCACCGGCUAACUACGUGCCAGCAGCCGCGGUAAAAC
rnacentral:rRNA from 1 species